rnacentral:other from 1 species
GUUGACCUUACAGCAAAUCUUAAAGCUACUUCAUUCUAAGAAAAACUCCUGUCAACUG